CUCUUUCUUCCAGGCUGCUACAGCAGGAUAUACCUGCUCUGCCCUGCAAAGUAAAUGCCCUUCCCUGGGUUUGCAGGCUCACUCUGAGCACGUGUUCAGCUCCAAGGCUCAGGCCUGUGAAGCCAAGGACCAUUCUUCCUUGUCAUCACCACAGAGUUGUCAUCACUCCUCAGGUGUCAUCACCACAGGCCUACUGGAAAGCACAAAGGUGGUACAUGGGGAGCCACGGGGGUGAUCCAGAUGCUCAUUCACAGUCAGAAAUAGCUGUAUGGAACUGCCUGUCGGUAGGAUAUCCAGAGGAGCCUUGUUCUGUGACCAUUCUCCAGUAGAUUCAGAGCUGAGUGCUCGCAAGCUGCAGAACUUCUGCAGAACUUGAAAGAAAGUGAAGACCUCCACAGAAGUCUGCAAAACAGGAUGUGGUUGCCCCAAAAUGCAUGACUUCAGAGCGCAAGUCCAGGCUUCUACAUCCCAGUGGCACAUCAGGAAGAUCCCACGCAGUACUGUGAAGCAACGCAGCCUCUGUGCCCACUGGACAGUGGCCAGCACUUUGCUAUCACGGAAUGACAGAAUGGUUUGGUUUGGAAGGGCCCUUAAAGACCACCUCGUUCCAAGCCCCCCCCCCGUGGGCAGGGACACCAUCCACUACAAUAGGUUGACAAAAGCCCCAUCAUGUGACUGUCCUUCUGGCCAGUUUGAAACUGAAGACUUCCAGAAACCAAACCUCACAGCUUGACAAAUCAGAAUGGCUGAGAUAUGUCCUGGCAAUGUCUUCAGCCUUGACCAUCCCAAAAGAGAUGCCGCAAAUCAACUUCAGCACAAGCGUACAAAGACAUAUUAAUCGCAAUUACGCACCCUGCUCCCAAGGAAGAGAUUUGCUUUUGGAAGUCUUCAGCAUGCCACCUCAGAAGCAGCCAUCAGAUCGAAUACCUUUCAGCAUUCUAAUUCUCAAUAGAUUACACACACACCACGUUACUUGUGAAGCAUACACCAGCCUUAUUAAGGCAUGUUCCAACCUAAAUAAAUAACACUGUUCUGAAAUAACUGCUAUUAAGUACCAAAGAGCAGAAAUCCCUGUUUGGCAUUUGGUCCAAAUUAAGUUGUUUGUUGCUGAAAUAGAUUUCUUAUAGUUAUUGUGCAAAUGAAUUUAUAUACACACUGAGAGAAGAAAGCCCUUCAGCUGGGAUCCGUGUUGCUUCCAGCUCCACACUGCACACUGCCACAUGUCUAACUGCUCUCAGGCCAAGGCACUCCACUUGGGUGGCUGCUUUUGAACUCUGCCACCCAACCUGGGCUUGCUAUGCGUGACAGUUUUGCGCAGAGAGAGCAAGAAACAGGGAAGCACUGACAGCCAUUUGCAGAGCAACACAGUUAACACUAAAUUCUGUGAAGUAGAAAAUGCUAGAGAGAACACUCUGUGUCACAACUUUACAUGUCAGCUUUCAGAAAGCACAUUGAACCUAUUUAUCCAGCAUCGUAUAAAAGCACCAUUGAAAGGUUGAACAGAGAGCACCGUGUAUACAGAAUUUUGAUCAAGACAAGCGAGAGGAGCUGUUCAGGGAGCCAUGGAGAAGUACAGAGCCCAGAGGAAUCCCGGCAAGAUGGGUUCCCUGGAGGCACAGUACACGAGGGCUUAAAGAACAAAGCGGCUGACCCUCAGCCAGCUGCUUUGUGGGAUGACCCAGCUUUGUGUGACUGAUGGACCCGAGCCCCAGCACCCGUUCCUCUCUGCAAUUCCCUCACCCUGCAAGGCCUGCUGUAUACCAGCAAGCCUGUAAUUGAUGCCAGUACAAAGACUGAAGCUGCCAAUUGUUCACAGUUGACAUGGACACAGACCACAUCUCCC
ensembl:lncRNA